rnacentral:rRNA from 1 species
GUCUUCUUGUUAUUUUAAGAAGUCUGACCUGCCCAGUGAGUAUUUUAACGGCCGCGGUAUAUUGACCGUGCAAAGGUAGCAUAAUCAUUAGUCUUUUAAUAGGAGGCUGGUAUGAAGGGUUUGACGAGGUGUUGACUGUCUCAUUUUGAUUUUUUGAAUUUGACUUUUUAGUUAAAAGGCUUUAAAAUUUUUUUGGUAGACGAGAAGACCCUAUAGAGCUUUACAUUUAUUUUUAGAAAUUAUGAUUGUUUAUUUUUUAUUUUUAAUAUUAAUUGUUUUGUUGGGGUGACAUUUGAAUAUAAUUAACUUUUAUUUUUUAUUACAUUGAUUUAUGUUUUAUUGAUCCAUUAUUAAUGAUUAUUAGAUUAAGUUACCUUAGGGAUAACAGCGUAAUCUUUUCUUGGAGUUCUAAUUUGCGAAAAGGCUUGCGACCUCGAUGUUGGAUUAAGAUUAUAAUUAGGUGUAGCCGCUUAAUAUAUAGGUCUGUUCGACCUUUAAAUUCUUACAUGAUCUGAGUUCAGACCGG